rnacentral:rRNA from 1 species
GACGAACGCUGGCGGCGUGCCUAAUACAUGCAAGUCGAACGCAGUUGCGAACGGGUAAGUAACGCGUAGGUACCUGCCUCAUGGCGGGGGAUAGCUAUUGGAAACGAUAUCUAAUACCGCAUCCUGUGAGAGGGACCUGCGUUGUGUUAGCUAGUUGGUGAGGUAAAGGCUCACCAAGGCGACGAUACAUAGGCGACCUGAGAGGGAGACCGGCCAAACCUGGACUGAGAAACGGCCCAGGCUCCUAAGGGGGGGAACAGGAGGGAAUCUUUGGACAAGGAGGGAAGUCUGGCCGAGCAAAGCCCGGGGAGUGAAGAAGGGCUUCGGAGCGGUAAGCUCCGUUGGUAAGGAAGCGGUAACUACAGAGAAAGCGACGGCUAACUACGUGCCAGCCGCCGCGGUAAUGC